CUUUCAUCUUUCAUUGAAUAAAGAUAAAUUAUGGUGUCAUAUUAUUUGAAAUCAAAUGUUGUUGAUAUAAAAUCCAAGCGAUUGAGGAUUACAGGUCUUAUAAGUUGAAUUUUAUGUAAAGAAAAGAAUUGCGUCCAUGAAAAUGGGAGUAAGCAUAUGGUUUUGUCUGUGUUUAUUGGCUCACUGCGUACCACUGACAUCGUGUAAGUAUAAUUAUUUAUCAUAUUGUAGUAUUCCCCCAUUCUA
rnacentral:lncRNA from 1 species